rnacentral:lncRNA from 1 species
CAUGAAUCGAGAGCAAACAUCAUCGUUGUUCACAGAAACGCGCAGGGGAAUCAAGCAUACGAACGGAGAGAUUAACAGCAAGGCAUCAUCAUCUCAAACGGGACAGAUAAUACUAAUAUCAGUAGCAACCAGACCGAACCAUCCGACUCACGGACGAGAUAGCAGAGUAUCUACAAGGGGGAUCACACCACCCGACACCACGACACGGUAGAAACUCAUCCCAGAUCCGACCAAAAUGCGACGACGACACGAGCGACCAAGGAAGAAAUCCAUCCCUACUGCAGCUACUGAAUAAUAAUGAUAAUAAUAAAUAGAUCUAGGCGGCGGUAGCGGUACUGCUAGGCAGGCGGGGGCGGGGCGCCCGACGGCCAUACCCUGCGGCUCAGUGGCGGACGGCAGCGAAGAGGAAGGCGGCGGCGGAGGCGACGAGGGCGGCGGCGAGGGGCGGGACCGCGGCGCCGGCGGCGGAGACGGGGCUGGGCGCCGGCGCGUCGGCCGCGGAGGCCACGGAGAGGGCGGCGGCCGCCAGGACGGCGACCACGGCGAGGGCCUUCGACCCGACUCCGGCCAUUGCUUCGGCUUCGGCGAGAAGGUUCUGGAAGGCGAUCUGCUCGCUGCGGAGAACGAGGACGGCGGGCGAGCACGAGAUCUUCGCUGGUGGCGGAC